UAUGGUCUUUAUUUUACUGAUGGUUUGCGUGUGUCAUCUGAAACCCUUCCCUAUUCUAAACAGUUCCAUACCCAAAAACAGAUACAUACAUCGUAUAAAUGUUUUAAUCAUUUUUGCGCAUCAAUUACGGUGUUAAUUCAAGGGUUAGCCCAACCUGUAUUGCCUUGAUUGGGUUAUGGACCUUCUUCAUUUUGUUUAUCGAAAGGUUCUAGACACGUUUUCCGCAGGUGCAGCCUUUCCUGUACAUGUAGAAAUACGCACCUGCCUUGACAUAUAAUAAUUUACGUGGAAUUUUAAUUAACUCAUGAAACAGACGCUUAUUUUGUAAGCACGUACACUUGAGAAUUUACGUUUUAACAACACGUUAGCGGUUUAUGCAGUCAUUUAUAUUCUGUGUUUAUGAGUAAGGACAUGGAAAAAUCUAAACGGACAGCAAACAGAAAGUGCAGAAAAGAUACCUACUUUGGUCCAUUAGGAAAAUGUCAAGACUGCUGAGUAUUAUGCGAUACACCGGCGCAGUAUCCUGAUUCAUGCACGAUUUAUUGCUCAGAUUACGCCCCUAAAGAACGCACAACUACAACACUGUUCCCUCCGAUAACUUCAAGCCACUCCUCAAACAGCAUCAAACCAUGGUUAAUUGGAGGUUUUACAAGUUUAUGUGCUUUGCUGUUUCUCUUAUUUAUAUUAUGUCGGCUGUGGAAGAAGGUUUUAAGAAAACGGUUUACUCGGAUUGCGGAAAAGAGAAGAAACAAAACGCUUCGGGCUCCAGUACAAGCACAAAGUGAUCAAAAUGAACGCCCAGAGAACAAUUCUAGAGAAAUCAAUAAUGAUAUCGAAAUAGAAUCUGCCUCUACUCUCAUCGGUUACUUCGAGAGUGAAGUGAUGAACUCUAUAGGCGACUUGGAGACAAAUGGACAUCGCCUGUUAGCGGAAACUGAAAGAUCUGACUCAACACAAACUGUUAUCACAAUAACCGACGAGAUUUCACAUUACUCCACAAAUGAUUUUGAGUUUGGAGAAACGUUUCCAUUUCAUUCCCUUUCAUCUUUAGAGAGUUUGUUUGAAUACAGCGGCGACCAGACACUUAGGAAAACUAGAUCCGAGUUCGUGACAUAAACUGAACUAAUAUUAAUGUCAGUCAUUGAUCUCGGCUUUACUUUUGGUUUGUUAUUGAAUAAUAUGUAUUUGUUUACGACGUAUUGUCUUGCAUAGUUUAAAAUAUCAAUGUAGUACAUACUGUUUCAACUUAAGAUAUAAAUUGAAAUGUUUUAAAGCUGAAUAAAAUAUCAAUUAUCGUC